AGAGCAGUACCAGCUCACAUGCACGAGGAUGGAUGGUGGAGCCUCCAUGACACAACUCCCCUCCGGUGACCUAUAACUCCAAGAUUUUGUUGGAUACACAAAAUAUAAGGACGCCCAUGUUGCCAUCUAAUGAUAAGAUUCUCUUCCAAGAUUUCAUUCUUGCUUUUUUACUGUUUACCUCUCCCCGCUACAGUUGUGGAAUGAAUGAGUUCAGGCACGUGAUCUAUCUUCUUGGCAAAUUGCCUCAUCGCUGUGGGUUGAAUGAGUCUUUCUUGGGUGGCAUCUGCCACUUGACUUGCUAGCUCAGCUCUUCUUGGCAAACUUGAUGUGAUAGUCUUCUCUCCUUUCUUC
rnacentral:lncRNA from 1 species